AGGAGUCUCUGUACAUCACCGGUUAGAGAAUUGACUCUAAGUUGAAUCUCUAAUGCGAGGAAAUGAACCAUCUGACCGGAGCUAUGUCUUUUGCAUGAGGAACCACCCCAGUGAACCUAAAUUUCCAAGGAAUGCUUUUCUUCUUAAAUUAUUCCAAACUUCUGUUAAGAUAGUUAGUUUAAGUCUCAACAUUUGCAAAUCAAAGUUUGUGUUUUAUUCCUUAAGCUAACCGUGAAAUGAAACAAGACCAAUUCACUUGGAAUUGGUAUCCUUGAUUGCUUGUUCAUCAUUCCCAGUGAACGAUCCUAGAGCCACUAUACUAUAGUAGCUUUGUAUUUCCUACCCUAGUGUAUGGUGUUAUAGGUAUAAAUUUUGUUGAUCACUUCCUCAAUCAAGGAGCACCAGUUGAACACGAAUCAGCUGAGACACCAAUUGGGCAUGAAUCAGGAGGAUGAGAUGUAUUAGCAGCUUCAUCAUUCAAUAAUUCAUUAAAGUUAGGAUCUGGUUUUUAACCCCCUCAUUGAUCGUGUUCUCAUUGAUCUCCAAGUCUUACAUUUUCUUGUGUACACCUCCCAUUGAAAAUUUCCAACGCAUUAAGCCUUUUUUCCACAAAUUUAGGUAUUUGGGGCCAUUUCCUUACAUUUUUUCCUACAACUAACUCAGCUUCAUGUCCCAAACUUAGGUGUUUAUUAAGCUCACGUGCAACAUUGAGACAACUCAAGCUUCUUUAAGUUGCUAAGUUAGCCUUACCCCAAGCUUAGCUCAUGAUGCUAAGCGAAGCUACUUGACUUUGAAGCUAAGAUACACAAAGGAAGCAACACUUGAAGAAUUGAAGCUUAUAUUGCACUAGAACACUUCACAAUUCUUGAAAGCUUUCAAGUGCUUAGUGCCUUGGCCAAAUGAGGUCAUUAAUUCUUUAGUUAUAGACACCCGAAAAACUCUCUAAAACCCUUAAAGGUUCCCCACUAGUCUAGAAUUAUCUAGUUGCCUACACAAAUUCUAUGUAUAAGGUAUGUUCAAGAGAUUUCUAGAACUGUCUAGAAAUCUCCAUCUUACUCCAUCCUUUCCCAUUCGUUUAUGGAGAUGUGUGGAUGCCUCUAGGAGUUUCUUUCAAAGCUUUUAUACUAGCUGCAUCAUGUAGUAGUAUAAAUUCUGGGUUUAACCAUUCUUCUUUUGGAAGAAUAUCAAUAAUAGACCAAAAAUCAAAAUUUUCUUGGUCUUGAUUAAAAAGAAGGGGUUGAAGAAAUGGAUCUUCAAUUCUUCCUAGAAAGUCUUCAUUUUCUUCAUUUUCCGAAUCUAAAUUUGUAGCAUCUAAAUAAUUCAAAAAUAGGGUUCCACAAUGCUCUAGAUGUAACUCUGACUGUGAGUGGAGUAGUGUAAUGGGUGUGACACAAACUUUUUUGAAGCUUGUUAUGAAAUCUCUAGUAAUUAUCAUACCUCUAUUUGGGUAGGAAUGAAUGUGGAUCCAAGAAUGAACUUAUGUGCAUGUUGAAUAUGUGAUAUCCAUGUUUGUGGUAGGACAUACCAUACUCCCUUAUAUAAGCUCAAGUGAGGGAUCAUUUUGAGUAGUUUGUGACACUCCUCCCACUAAUGCUACAAAUGUUUCGUCGUUCCUUCUACUCGGAAUUGUUCUAUCUAUUCUUGGAACUACCGCAAUACUUCUAUAGUCUCCCAGCUAGCCACAUUUUCUAGUAGUCUCUUUCACCUGACUAAAUACUCCAUUGAAGAAGGUACACCUCGUCUCAUUAUCACUUGUGCUGCUAAGAUGUAUUCUACUUUCCUAUCAUACAAGGUUACAAUAGUUGUAGGCACCCUCUUUAAUAUUCCAUGAGUUGGAUCAUCUUUGUCUUCGUGAUAAGGCUUCAAGUAGCUUGGAUGAAGAUAGGAUGGAUCUUCAACCUUGGAGGUAACUCCAUUCAUAGGGACAACUUGUCUACUCUCCCAAGCACAAGGAAGAGGCCUUCAUAUUACAAGACCUUUGUGUGUUGGCCUUAGGGUAUUGAAUUAUUAAGUAAAUACCUUGACAAGCACCAAGUCUCCAACUUGAUACGCAAUGUGUCACCUCUUCUUGUCAACCCACCUUUUCAUAUUCUUAGUGGUCUUGUCUAAGUAUAAGCAAGCUAUGUCAGCUUUUUCCUACCACCCUGAUUACUACUCAAAAAGUGCUAUUUGAUAGCCUUUAAUUAAUCCUUUUUAACACUUUUGAGUAGUAGUUUAGGCCUUUUUACUCAAUUGGCAUGUUAAGGAUCCUUUAAAGCAAUUUUGAUCACUUUGUGUAAGUUUUGGUGUUUUUGUUAGUAUAUUGAUCACCAAAGCAAGUCAAGAAUGAGGAGAGCUAUGAGGAAUCUUGGGCAAAGCUUAGAAUUCAAUUGCCAAGAGUGAAUCCGGAUUGCAAGGAGAAAAAGCAAAGAGAAUCUGCCAUGA
rnacentral:lncRNA from 1 species